rnacentral:rRNA from 1 species
GGUUAAGCGACUAAGCGUACACGGUGGAUGCCCUGGCAGUCAGAGGCGAUGAAGGACGUGCUAAUCUGCGAUAAGCGUCGGUAAGGUGAUAUGAACCGUUAUAACCGGCGAUUUCCGAAUGGGGAAACCCAGUGUGUUUCGACACACUAUCAUUAACUGAAUCCAUAGGUUAAUGAGGCGAACCGGGGGAACUGAAACAUCUAAGUACCCCGAGGAAAAGAAAUCAACCGAGAUUCCCCCAGUAGCGGCGAGCGAACGGGGAGCAGCCCAGAGCCUGAAUCAGUAUGUGUGUUAGUGGAAGCGUCUGGAAAGGCGCGCGAUACAGGGUGACAGCCCCGUACACAAAAAUGCACAUGCUGUGAGCUCGAUGAGUAGGGCGGGACACGUGGUAUCCUGUCUGAAUAUGGGGGGACCAUCCUCCAAGGCUAAAUACUCCUGACUGACCGAUAGUGAACCAGUACCGUGAGGGAAAGGCGAAAAGAACCCCGGCGAGGGGAGUGAAAAAGAACCUGAAACCGUGUACGUACAAGCAGUGGGAGCACGCUUAGGCGUGUGACUGCGUACCUUUUGUAUAAUGGGUCAGCGACUUAUAUUCUGUAGCAAGGUUAACCGAAUAGGGGAGCCGAAGGGAAACCGAGUCUUAACUGGGCGUUAAGUUGCAGGGUAUAGACCCGAAACCCGGUGAUCUAGCCAUGGGCAGGUUGAAAGUUGGGUAACACUAACUGGAGGACCGAACCGACUAAUGUUGAAAAAUUAGCGGAUGACUUGUGGCUGGGGGUGAAAGGCCAAUCAAACCGGGAGAUAGCUGGUUCUCCCCGAAAGCUAUUUAGGUAGCGCCUCGUGAAUUCAUCUCCGGGGGUAGAGCACUGUUUCGGCAAGGGGGUCAUCCCGACUUACCAACCCGAUGCAAACUGCGAAUACCGGAGAAUGUUAUCACGGGAGACACACGGCGGGUGCUAACGUCCGUCGUGAAGAGGGAAACAACCCAGACCGCCAGCUAAGGUCCCAAAGUCAUGGUUAAGUGGGAAACGAUGUGGGAAGGCCCAGACAGCCAGGAUGUUGGCUUAGAAGCAGCCAUCAUUUAAAGAAAGCGUAAUAGCUCACUGGUCGAGUCGGCCUGCGCGGAAGAUGUAACGGGGCUAAACCAUGCACCGAAGCUGCGGCAGCGACGCUGAUGCGUUGUUGGGUAGGGGAGCGUUCUGUAAGCCUGCGAAGGUGUGCUGUGAGGCAUGCUGGAGGUAUCAGAAGUGCGAAUGCUGACAUAAGUAACGAUAAAGCGGGUGAAAAGCCCGCUCGCCGGAAGACUAAGGGUUCCUGUCCAACGUUAAUCGGGGCAGGGUGAGUCGACCCCUAAGGCGAGGCCGAAAGGCGUAGUCGAUGGGAAACAGGUUAAUAUUCCUGUACUUGGUGUUACUGCGAAGGGGGGACGGAGAAGGCUAUGUUGGCCGGGCGACGGUUGUCCCGGUUUAAGCGUGUAGGCUGGUUUUCCAGGCAAAUCCGGAAAAUCAAGGCUGAGGCGUGAUGACGAGGCACUACGGUGCUGAAGCAACAAAUGCCCUGCUUCCAGGAAAAGCCUCUAAGCAUCAGGUAACAUCAAAUCGUACCCCAAACCGACACAGGUGGUCAGGUAGAGAAUACCAAGGCGCUUGAGAGAACUCGGGUGAAGGAACUAGGCAAAAUGGUGCCGUAACUUCGGGAGAAGGCACGCUGAUAUGUAGGUGAAGUCCCUCGCGGAUGGAGCUGAAAUCAGUCGAAGAUACCAGCUGGCUGCAACUGUUUAUUAAAAACACAGCACUGUGCAAACACGAAAGUGGACGUAUACGGUGUGACGCCUGCCCGGUGCCGGAAGGUUAAUUGAUGGGGUCAGCGCAAGCGAAGCUCUUGAUCUAAGCCCCGGUAAACGGCGGCCGUAACUAUAACGGUCCUAAGGUAGCGAAAUUCCUUGUCGGGUAAGUUCCGACCUGCACGAAUGGCGUAAUGAUGGCCAGGCUGUCUCCACCCGAGACUCAGUGAAAUUGAACUCGCUGUGAAGAUGCAGUGUACCCGCGGCAAGACGGAAAGACCCCGUGAACCUUUACUAUAGCUUGACACUGAACAUUGAGCCUUGAUGUGUAGGAUAGGUGGGAGGCUUUGAAGUGUGGACGCCAGUCUGCAUGGAGCCGACCUUGAAAUACCACCCUUUAAUGUUUGAUGUUCUAACGUUGACCCGUGAUCCGGGUUGCGGACAGUGUCUGGUGGGUAGUUUGACUGGGGCGGUCUCCUCCUAAAGAGUAACGGAGGAGCACGAAGGUUGGCUAAUCCUGGUCGGACAUCAGGAGGUUAGUGCAAUGGCAUAAGCCAGCUUGACUGCGAGCGUGACGGCGCGAGCAGGUGCGAAAGCAGGUCAUAGUGAUCCGGUGGUUCUGAAUGGAAGGGCCAUCGCUCAACGGAUAAAAGGUACUCCGGGGAUAACAGGCUGAUACCGCCCAAGAGUUCAUAUCGACGGCGGUGUUUGGCACCUCGAUGUCGGCUCAUCACAUCCUGGGGCUGAAGUAGGUCCCAAGGGUAUGGCUGUUCGCCAUUUAAAGUGGUACGCGAGCUGGGUUUAGAACGUCGUGAGACAGUUCGGUCCCUAUCUGCCGUGGGCGCUGGAGAACUGAGGGGGGCUGCUCCUAGUACGAGAGGACCGGAGUGGACGCAUCACUGGUGUUCGGGUUGUCAUGCCAAUGGCACUGCCCGGUAGCUAAAUGCGGAAGAGAUAAGUGCUGAAAGCAUCUAAGCACGAAACUUGCCCCGAGAUGAGUUCUCCCUGACUCCUUGAGAGUCCUGAAGGAACGUUGAAGACGACGACGUUGAUAGGCCGGGUGUGUAAGCGCAGCGAUGCGUUGAGCUAACCGGUACUAAUGAACCGUGAGGCUUAACCUUACAACGCCGAAGCUGUUUUG